GUGGGUUAGCUCAGUGGUUAGAGUGUAGGUCUCGAAACCGAAUGGUUGCGGGAUCGAAUCCCGCUAGAGGCAUA
rnacentral:tRNA from 1 species